rnacentral:rRNA from 1 species
GACGAACGCUGGCGGCGUGCCUAAUACAUGCAAGUAGAACGCUGAAGCUUGGUGCUUGCACCGAGCGGAUGAGUUGCGAACGGGUGAGCAACGCGUAGGUAACCUGCCUGGUAGCGGGGGAUAACUAUUGGAAACGAUAGCUAAUACCGCAUAAGAGUAGAUGUUGCAUGACAUUUGCUUAAAAGGUGCAAUUGCAUCACUACCAGAUGGACCUGCGUUGUAUUAGCGAGUUGGUGAGGUAACGGCUCACCAAGGCAACGAUACAUAGCCGACCUGAGAGGGUGGUCAGCCGAACUGGGAGUGGGACAGGGCCCAGACUCCUACGGGAAGCAGCAAUAGGGAAACUUUGGCAAUGGGCGGAAAGCUGUGCGCGAAACGCCGCGUGAGUGAAGAAGGUUUUCGGGUCGUAAAGCUCUGUUGUAAGGGAAGAAAGAGUGUGAGAGUGGAAAGUUCACACUGUGACGGUAUCUUACCAGAAAGGAACGGCUAACUACGUG